CUGAGGCGCAGUUGGUUUUGAUUGUCGGGAUGCAGCAGUUGUAGUAGUAGUUGACGGGAGGGAGGUAGCAGCAAUGUGACAGAAAAUGACCACGUCUAGAGCAUCAAUAUUUGAUUACCCUUUUUCUCUCUCUCUCUCUCUCUCUCUCUCUCUCUCUCUCUCUCUCUCUCUCUUACAUGGCCUGCAGAGCGUGGGUACGUAUUUAUGCUUCGAAUGCCAAUUAAUAAAUGAAAUUGUCUUUUAAUUAGAGUUAUAGGACAAGCUGUCCUACAAACCUCGGUCACCAUAUUCAUCAUCAUAUAUAUCCAAAUUACCUAAGCUAACUACCUUCUUCAACCAACCUAGCUAACAAUUUUCUAUCAUAAUUAACAUUUUAAUUGUAGUUAUGGACAUUAAUUCACUAUUUGGCUUGCGAGUAGUCUGAUUAAUGAGGUCUCAUAAUAUGGUAUUGCUCAUGUUUACUUCUUUUGAGAAUCUUUCCUAUUGAAAUGAGAUAUGACAUACUAAAUUCACACACACUACACGCAGUGGCAAACCUAUUAAGGUGUCUCCCCUUGUCGGAAAAUCUAUUAUAGGUGCUGCAUAUUGCACCUUUGCUCAACCUAGGAGGUGCACUCUAGGUGUUCAGUGAAAAUCCUAAACGAAGUCAGUCUGCUGUUGUGCUGUGUUGUGUUGCGCAGCGCACUUGUUGUUGUUUCUUUAAACCUUGACCAAAAUUGCACCUCUACUAAAAAAAAUCAACCCAUAAUCUUUCAUGUGAGAACAAUAUUAUCAUUUUUAUGCACUAACUCUGCGGAUUUGCUCAUCAACAGGACCUUUUUAUAUAUUAUCAAAAAUAAAAAGGAAAUGGGCAAUUCAUUUUUUUUAUACAUUUUGUAUGCUACUUAAGACGCUAGAUGGAUCUAGACAAACUAGAUGAAUUCAUUAUGAUUGACGACGUUUGAAUUAGGGCAUAUCGAUUUAGAAAUACGCUGAUCGGCAUUAAGUCGUAAAAAAAAUAUAAACAACGUAACGUCAAUCAUAACAAAAUACUUUUCACGGCAGGAUGAGUUUGGUGGGCUGAACCUUUCAGAAUGGGCACUGCUUGGCCGGCCUAGGAGGCUAUGCCCUAAUUCAAAGAACGUCAACGGGAAUAUAUUCAUGCAGACUGCUUCAUUGUCCAUUGUCCAAAACCCAGAUACAUGAACGCUCACUGCUCACUACAUGAUAAUAUUCAUAUACUCUGUAUUCUCUGUAUUGUCAACAUUUUGACCUUUGUCAAUGUGUCAUUCUCAUGCAUAAAAAACAAAAAGUAAACCUAAGAAGUAGGUCACGUCACUGAGCAUAAAAAAGGGCCAUUAAUAGAUUCUUUCAAGAAAAAUGUACCUUCAUUUCUUCAUCAUGUGAAAUACCAAGGGUCGGUGGCAUGAGUUGUUAGAGCACUUUCACCGCAUAGUCUAGUCUCGCGACAAAAGGUCCUUUCAGGCUGAAGAAAUUCACUCCACCAUACAAAUUUAGCCUGGGCAAAUAGUGGGCUCCACAAAGAUUGGAGAGGCUCGAAGACAAGAAUAACCUGAGUUGUGGUCUAAGAUUGCUGAUGUUAAUUAGAGAAUAAUUUUUUAAAAAAAAUUUAACAAAAAAUUCAGAAUCUUUUUUUAUACAUACCUAGCAAUUUUAUUAUUAUUAAUCUCAUAGAUAAAAAUAAAAUUAAUCCCAUGUGAAUAUAAUUGCAUUUGGGUUACCAUGACAAUGGGUGGAAAGACAUAAAAAAUAUUGCUAAGCCAAACACUAUUCGCGUGAAUAGUGUCUGCCUUUACUUGGCCUUAUCCUUUAGUGUGGCACUAUAGAUAAAAAUGCUCUUAAGUAACGCAACAUCUAUAGCUCUUUCAUUUUACAUUGGUCAAAUACACGUACUAAAAGUUAUAAAUAAAUAAAAAGACAUACCUAUAAUAUAGAUGAAAGUUAACCUAGGUUUGUUCUCAGUUUGUGCUUCACGAUUGUUUUAAUUUCAUUUGUUUGCAUAACAACAUAAAGAGAACAUGCAUAUAUACAUUACUAGAAAACUUAAAAAACAUUACUAGAAAAUUUCAAAAAGAGUGACGGAUGAUCUGAGGCCUGUAAUAGCAAAGGCCAUAAUGUACCGGUAGUCAAAAAUGGAUUCGUCACUACUCACAUAGAAGUCAUAUAUUACAUUAUUGUGUUUAUUACAUGGUGUUGCCAAUAAUUUUUGUCAAUGUAAACAAAGUCGGUGGACAGUAAAUUUUGCCAAUGUAAACAAAGUCGGUGACCAAUAGAACGACGGGGCAAUACCAAAACCAAAAAAUUAAUGUGGUGUUACAAGAGUAAAGUAGAAAAAGGCUACUAUAACAACUACAAAGUAGGAAGGUUAGGGAAGGAGAAAAAAAAAAAAAAGGGGUGCACCGUCAACAUGUUUUAAAUACUUUCAUCAAAGCUUCUUAUAUAAAAUAGUCAAUGGUUCUAAUGGAAGUCGCCAUUUUGUAAUUUUGGCACAUUAAUAUAUGACAAGACUUGACCUUUGCCCAUUGUGAUUGUGAUGGUUGUUGAAUUAUCUGAACCUGAUUAGCAUAAUCUGGAUGUCUUGAAAUACCAUCUUUUCUCCAAAAAAAUAAUAUCUGUAUGUCUUGAUUGGAAACACCAAAAACAUUUAGUGGACACAUUUGUCAUCAUCCGUAAAGUUCAAUGGAACACAAACGUUAUACGGCCAUGAUAUUGCCCAAUGCACAAUACGUUUUUUCUAUUGAAGAAAUGGAGGAAACCUCUUAUUUUAAUAAUUUUAAAAAGUUAUAAAAAUGGACUUAGUUAAGUUGACUAAAUUGAAUGUGCUUCUCACUCUGUACCUAAGUUGAAUUUCCUUUUCCAUAAUCUACAUAUGUAAAGCAAAAGGCAUGGUGAAACAUUCAAAAUACCAGAAAAUGUCAUUGGUUAAUGAAUAUUAAGAAUUGAAAUUAUUAUGGAUCCUAUUUUUUUGAAACACAACUAUCCAUUAUCUUUUUUAAUUCUAAAAUAUAUAUAUAUUUUUUUAAAGGCCUCUCGCAAAAGCAGAAACGUGUACGGAAAGGCUAAUUUAUAUUAAAAUAGAACAUCACUUCCAUCAACAAAACAAAAAGUUGAAAAACGUUAAUUAUGUUGGUUGGAACAUAUAUAUCUAAUUUUUAAUAAUAGAAAUGCUAGUUUGACAUGUUGGGUAUUUCCUAAUAGGCUUAAUUAGUGUUUUACUUAUGAAAUGGAUGCCCCGUGUUUUACUUAUGAAAUGGAUGCACAGAGAGAGAGAGAGAGAGAGAGAGAGAGAGAGAGUGGGUGGGGUGCAAUGGAGGUGUGAUGGGGGUUAAGUGAUGAAAAUGGACAGAAAUGAUAAAGUGAGAAAGUUUUAGUGGUUUCUAUAUAUUAUAGGAGUUAAGUGAGAACAUUUUAAUUUUAACCGCAAUUGGGAAUAAAUUUGUGUUUUAAAUUACACCACCCAUCAUAUAAAAAACAAUUAUAUUUCUUUAAAAAGAUUAGUAGAUAAUGCUACCCAAUCCCAUUCGAGUUUCUAAUAUUAGAAAGAAAGUUUUUUUUUUUUUUUUGGUCAAGAUAUUAGAAAGAAAGUAACCAUUAAAAUAAGAACUAAUUGUACCAAAAUUUUACUGUUUACUUUAUUCCAGAAGAAACAAAACUGAAAUAAAAAUGUCUCAGAUUCAAAGGACCGUGGCACCCGAUGAUGGUGGUUUCGGGGCAAAUGCACAAGCAAGCAGUAGCAUGGCCAAUUUGCCAUUGAACAACUAGCUCGCGUGGCAGCUGGGUUCUAACUGGCAUACACGUGGCAGAUAUCAAGGUUCACUUGCAACGUACACUUGGUGAUUGGAACUCUUGAUCUGUCUGUCAUACACGUGGCAGACAUCAACGGAGGCUGCAGCCAAAACUAUAUGGAUCCCAACAAUUAAAACCCAAAUAAGAAAAUGGGUCUUAGUAUUUAGACACCACGGGCUGUCACAAUACUAUAUUUUUUAUUUUUGGUACUGCAUUUAUACAAUAUUUUUCUCAAUAUAAUGAUAUAAAUGAGCAAUGGACCGUCUAAGUCAAACAAUUAAUUAAGCCACAUACAUACAAUUAAUUAUGCUUAAUUAGCAUUUAAAUAGUAAUUAGCAAUUAAAACCUGGCACACGCCGACAAAUCAUAAUUGACGGUUUUAGUUUAGAAGAAUCUUGCAUAUAACUUAAUUAACCGACCAUAUUUCUAUCAGGUAAUCUCAAACAUAUGCUAUAUAAAUAAAUAAAAAUAAAUAAAUGUACUUAUGACAACAUAAUUAAUAAUAAUAUGGCAAAUAAAGCUUAAUUAAUUUUGCAGAGGACAGUUCAAGGUUAGCUGACCAAACAGUUGAGAUUCUUGGGGGGCCGACCUUUCUAGGGAUCGGAAGAAUGACAGCCAACCUACAGAAUGUAAAUAGUCGGCGCUAUUCUUAAUUACAUGGAUAAUUAAUUACUCAAUUAAGUUUUUGCAUGAGAAAAAAAUUGAUUAUCGUGGAAUCUUCACAAAGUUUAUCUCAUAGUACGCUAACUGGCAAGUGAGUGCUGUUUAAGCAAACUCUGUGGCAAUAUUACCGUAGGCUCCUGGCGAAAUAAUAAUAAGAAAAUAAUAUAUAGUAAAUUAAACAUCAAUCACCCUAGCCUAGCUAGUUGACAACUUGGGAUGAAGAAACAAAAACAACUGUCUCUACUUGGAUGCAAUCAGAUAGAGAUCAAGUGGACAAAAAUGAAAAACCAAAUUGUUAUUUUUUUUUAAUGAUAAAAAGUUUAGGAAAAGGGGAGGCUACCUCAUCCCAGAAUUAUGACAUACCAAGAUCUAUUUGAGGACUUACAAAUGGGGUUUCAGCUCCUUUUUUAUUUUUACAUAUUACACAUCAAGAGAAAUUGUAAGCCGCGGAACUCGAACCUAGUCCUGGAUAGCAAAAGAGAAUGAUCAUUACCAACUCAAUCAACUUUCGUUUGCCAAAAUUGUUAUUUUCACUUCUUUUUUUCUCCCUUAUUUUCACUUAAUUGUCAUUAUAUGUACUAAUAUUUCUUAGCUCUUUAUAAAUAAGAGUCAAAUUAAUCACAGGCCGACACAUACGAAUAAUUAAAUUAUUAAAAUUAGAAAGAAAAAGAUAAAUUUGCACGUGUGUAAAUAUGAUUUAUGGUCAUGAUUUGAUUUGGGUGAAAAAUCCGCAGUAUAUUGAUGGAAAGGAGUGCGGGUAGUAUAAAUGUGUUUAAUUGGAUGCGUGGGGGGAGGCAUGAGUAUCUUGUUAUGUAUGGGAAUUGUGUAAUUCAAGGCGGACUCCAUUGGAUAUUGCUGGAGGAUCUACUGCUACCUGUGAGAGAUUUCAACUAGAAAAUCUCAUCUCCACAGAUUCUGAAUAUAUGAGAGAAAAUCUCACAGAUUCUUGUUGGAGUGAGUAAAAUCUCUGAAAUCCAAUAUGCAUCGCUGCUGUUUCAAUAUUCAUUCCUUAAUUAUAGAAUAAUUUUUAGAGUUAUUUUCACUGACACCCUUUGAGAUUUUUUAUGUUUUCACAAAAUUGCCUCAAGUCUAAAAAAUUAUAUGAACACAUCUUCAGGUUUCGGUUUUUUUAAAUUUUUUUACAAAAUCCCUUUUCAUUGAUUGUUUGUCCAAAAUUUGAUGAUUUCAUUGAAAAAAAAACUUAUGCAAAUGCCAACAUUAUCCUCAAUGAAGUAUAUGCAAUAUGAUAUCAAAGUCCAACUUUGUCAUUUGGAGAAUUUUUUUUGCAUAAAAUUAUCAAUCUUUGGAUGAAAAAUCACUAAAAGUGAGUUUUGUGAAAACAAUUUAAAACCUUAAGGGGUGUACAUGGAAUUUCUAAAACCUCAAGGAGUUUUGUGAAAAAACCGAAAUUUUUAAAGGAUAUUAUUGUAAAUAACUCUAAUUAUUAAUAAUUAAUUUGUAACUUAACUUGUCGACAGUCAACACGUUCAAUAUUUUUUAGUUGGCAUGGUGGUGCUUAGACUUCAUAUUAUCUCUUAUAAAGAAGGACUUUUGAGAACCAUCCGAAAUAUCCGCAGGCUGAGCUCAGCUCAUUGGCUUUAAUGUAAAUUUCUUAUUUAAGACGUCUUAUUAUGUGAUUUGUUGAGUUUGGGUUAGACUUAUUGUGUCUUCGGACUUUUCGUUUUAUCAAUGAAGUUUUCCUCGUUUCGUUGAAUUUCUCUCAAAUUUUCAUCAUGUAUUUACUUUAAAAAAAAACCCUAGCCUUUUAAUUAGUUUUAGUUUUCCACUAAUAAAACUACAAUCGUUGUAAUUUCAUUAGUUUGCAUGUCAGAAACUAGCCGGGAAAUCUAACACGUGGUUUCCAAUCGCAGCUACGAUUUGGGAUGCUGAUGAUGAUUAUGAUUAGGAAAUUAUAUGCAGACAGGAGAGAUAGAGUGAAUGUAUCAUCAGAUACAAACCCACGACCCAUCCAUUCGCAUAUUCUUCAUGAAACGUUAAUAAAAAAAAAUAAAAGAGAAUUAAAGUAAUUAAAUAAACGAUGACAACCAAAUCAGCAAUAAAUUACUAAAUUAAGAAACACACCAGCCCCCGUCAGCACAUUCAUGCAUCCAAAACCACAACCCACCCCCUAUAAAUACCACUCCCAACUCUCACACCUUCCUCACUCCUCCUCCUCAGUGUUUACUCACAUUUCCAACCCUCCUCCACACCAUUAGACACUUGGCGCCCAUCAUUCAAUCAAAAUGCCUUCUUCAAACUCGCCAACGUCUCUAACUCAAACUCAAAUGGUGGCCAAGUCCACCGUCUUCCCCGACCAGCCCUCCACACUCGGUGACCUCAAGCUCUCCGUCUCCGACCUCCCCAUGCUCUCCUGCCACUACAUCCAGAAGGGCCUCCUCUUCCCUCUUCCUCCUUUCCCCAUCCAACACUCUCUCAUCCCCCUCCUCAAAGCCUCUCUCUCCCAGAGCCUCUCUCGUUUCCCUCCCUUGGCCGGCCGCUUGACCACUUACUCCGACGGUCACGUUCACAUCACCUGCAACGACGCGGGCGUCGACUUCAUCCACGCCUCUGCCCCCAGUCUCUCCACCCGAGACAUUUUGGGCCCCACUGACGUCCCCAAUUGCGUCAAGGACUUGUUCCCCUUCGACCGCACCGUCAGCUACACCGGCCACCACAACUCAAUCCUGGCCGUCCAGGUCACCGAGCUCAGCGACGCUGUUUUCAUCGGCUGCGCUCUCAAUCACGCCGUCACCGACGGCACCUCCUUCUGGAACUUCUUCAACACCUUCGCCGAGCUCUGCAGACUGUCGUCAUCAUCAUCACCUAAUGAGAACAAGAAACUUACCAUAGCGAAGCAGCCCGACUUCAGCCGGAGCUCCGUUAUCAUAUCGCCUGCCGUGCUCCGGUUCCCGGAAGGAGGUCCCAAAGUCACCUUCUCCCUCACCGAGCCUUUGCGCGAGCGAAUUUUCAGCUUCAGCACAGAAGCGAUUCAAAACCUCAAAUCCCGAACCAACAGUAAAAAAUGGGCCGAAUUCCAAAACGACGACGCUUUAAUAAGCGCCGUUGAGAUUCUCGGGAAGCAGAGCAACGACCCCUACGAGAUUAACAACUCAAACGGCGCCAGAGUGACAUCAAUUAUCGAAAACUGGUUCAAGAACUCCAACGCCAAAACGGCACCCGAAAUUUCGUCGUUUCAGUCUCUCUGCGCGCUCCUCUGGCGAUCCGUGACGCGCGCGAGGAAAUUGCCGUCCUCGAAAACGACGACAUUCAGAAUGGCUGUGAAUUGCCGUCACAGGCUGGAGCCCAAGCUGGACGCGUACUACUUCGGGAACGCAAUCCAGAGCAUCCCGACGUACGCGACGGCGGGAGAGGUGCUGUCGAACGACACACGGUGGUGCGCGGAGCAGCUGAACAAGAACGUGAAGGAGCACGACAACGACAAGGUGCGAGGUGUCGUAGAGGAUUGGGAGAUGGACCCGCGGGUGUUUCCGCUUGGCAACUUCGACGGUGCGACGAUGACGAUGGGGAGCUCGCCGAGAUUUCCGAUGUACGACAACGAUUUCGGGUGGGGGAGACCAUUAGCAAUUCGGAGCGGGAGGGCGAAUAAAUUUGACGGAAAGAUAUCGGCGUUUCCGGGGAGGGAAGGAGCUGGGAGCGUUGAUCUUGAGGUGGUUUUGGCGCCUGACACUAUGGCUCUGCUUGAAACGGACUCUGAGUUCAUGCAAUACGUGUCGAGCUGAGCUUGUGGAUGAUGUCAUAUUUUCUAUAUAAAAACAAAAGUAAGAAGAAAAAGGGAUGUGGAUGAAGGGGAAAUGGUUGGGUGCGGUUGAUCAAGGUCCCUAUUUUUAUAUCUGCACUCUGCUGCUGACCGUUGGAUUGUAUGCGUCCUUGGGAUGAACGGGGGUGAUUUGGUUCAGAGGCCAAUGGAUGGGGGGAUGUUGAUCUGUGUAUUUGUGUCAUUUUGUUUCGUUUACUGGUGUGUGUCUCGUUUAGAUAUGAAUUAUAAUUUUAUUGACUUUUGUUUUUUCAACUAUAUUUCUUUUGUUUUUUUUGUUCUGAUUUUGUGGGGCCAACGUUCUAACAAAAUUAAUUAGUCUUAUCACCAGGUUUCGUUUCGUUUCGUGUACACAUUAUUAGCAUUCACGAGGCUUUUGUGUAUAGAUUUUGUCAUUUUGGGGAUUCAUAUACGAAUUUAGCAUUUUUUAUGGGUUCAUGUAGCAUUUUUUUUUGGGUUUCGAGUAAGAUUUUGGUAUUUUUGGACUUUUGUGUCUUAGUUUAGUAUUUUUUUCAGGUUCGUGUCUAGAUUUGAUCAAUUUGGGGUUUCGAUGGUAGAUUUUGGAAUUCUCCAGAGUUUUGCGUAUCAACUUAGUAUUUGUUAUAAUUUAAUGUGUAGAUUUUCGAAUAUUUAGGUUUCAAUUAUAGAUUUUGGCAAUUGAAGGUUUCAUGUAUGAAUUUAGCAUUUUGAGCGCUUGGAGUAUAGAUUUUUGCUUUUUGAAGCAUCAUGGAUGAAUUUAGUAUUUUUAAGAUUUAAUAUAACAUUUUGUGAUAUCGAGUAUAAAUCUUGGCAUUUUCAUUAUGAAUGAGUAGAGUUUGUGUAUAUAUAUGCAAUCUCAAUCAUUAAAUGUGCUUUAAUCUAAUACUCUAAAAUGUGUGUUAUGAUGUGUGUCCUUACUUGAAACCCUUUAAAAAAAAAAAAAACUAAAUCAUACAUGAAACCCCAAAAAUGACAAAAAAGCUAAAUCUAACAUCAACACCACAAAAUUUUACAUGAAACCCUAAAAAAUGCUUAGUUCAUAUUCGGACCCAAAAAAAAUACUAACUUCAUACUUGAAACUCGAAAAUUCUCAAAUUUAUACAUGAAAUCUCUAAGAGUGAAAAGCCAAACAAGAGACCUAUGAUGUCAAAAUCCAAAUGGACCUAUCCUAUCAUAUGGUAAGGAAACCUACAAUUAACCCAUAUCAUUCUCAUGUCCGGGUGUCCUAAGAUUUUUAAAGAUAAAAAUAAGAUUAUAAAAUUUUCAAAAAAGUUGAGGAACUUAAUCAUUUUUUGGGUUGAAAUUUUUCUGGAGAUGUAACAAGUAUAUAGAGCUUUUAAAAAUUCCAACAAAAUUGUGUAUUUAAUAUUGGCAUAUGCACCACGAACACAAAGGCAAAAUAUAAUCUUCAUUUGGGCCUUUCACAAACAUUAUUGAAUUGAGAUUAAGCCCGAUUCCUAGCCUACUGAAAUAAUAUUGUCCGUCUUGAAAGGCCCACUUUUUGGGCCUCACUCAUCUUAGCCUCUUCGAUGAGUCCAGAAACCAUACGACGUCGUUCCAACCUUGAUGCAAUGCAAGAAACUCUAUUACGUAUCCCAAAUCAUAGGCUCUCUCAACUGGCUCGCUAGGUGCUUGAACACGCCAGUGUGAAGCUCCUAGAGUUGGGACCUCAGCAGCCGAAAUCCAACGCUUGCAGAAGAGCCACGUGGGAAGAUCCCGAGCGCCGGAAAGCUCGCCUGCGAUUCAGGAUCGUCAAAGACGAUGAGCAGAAGCCGGAUUCUGAGAAAUCCGAUUGCGUUCGUUUGGUGGGCUGUGUUGGUUUGUUGCUUUUUAAUUGUUACAAUCUCAAUGCUGAGGCUUCCAGAGAUCCCGCUUGGGUUGCAAUAUCCCACUACAAAAACAAGUAAACAAACUUCAGAGAAUGACAAAUUUUCGAUAGGGAGGUUUGGGAAGAUGAUGCUUGAAAUGUUGCCUGAAGAUCUUGCUUUCACUGUGUUUGUUCCUUCAGAGGAAGCUUUCGAGCGCGAUCUGAGGCUCAGCCCAAAUGAAAGUUUAGUGGGGGAGAAGAUGAAUGACGACACGUAUGCAAUUAUGUCUCGAAUAUUGGGGUUCUCGGCUGUUCCUCGGAGGCUUGCUUCAGUCAAUGUGCCGAUUGACAAGGAGCUGUCGUAUGAUUCGAUAUCUGGGUUUGUGUUGUAUAUCUCGAAAGAGGAAGAUGGAGCGUUGACGGUCAACAGGGUUCGAUCCAGAAGAGUGGAUCUGAGGAAGAAGGGAAGCGUUGUGCAUAUCAUGGAUGGAGUGAUCAUGGAUGCUGAGUUCCAACAAUCAGUUCAGCCUGAGGAACAAGAUUGAGUUCACUCGUGAAUUUUUGUAACAUUGUACUUGGAUUACUGUAGAAACAUAUAUAUGAGAUGUUGUAAUUCUUUCUAGAUAUUUUUAUUACACAAUUAUACUAAUAAAGUUCUUAGGCAAGGGAAUUUGUUUUUUUUGUUUACACAAUCAAGAAUGGUAGAAUUGUAACAACGCAUAAAUGAGUCAUAAGGUUAAUAAAACAGAUGAAAUGGGUCUACAAAGUAAGAUGGGAAGCAAAGCAACCCAAGUUUUAGAGUACAAAAUGAAUAUGUCCGUCAUCACUUGACAACCCGUAAAUUAUAUGUUUAAAAGAAACUGAGCACCAUCCGGGACAUGGCAAAAAAUUAGGGGUAAUUAUUAAAUCGGCCAUGUCCUAUGCAUCCCUCCAAUUCCAACUUGAAAUUCAUCGAGGCUGGAAAGAAGUGAGAGUAUGCAUUUUAGUUAUCUUAGUCGACAGAUGACGCCCCUCAAAGCUCCAACCCGUAUAUAGAUACUUCUUAGCUUCCGGCUGCAGCUGGUACAGCAACUUGUUUUGAGUCUUCUGCCUUUUCAUGCUCCUUAUUGUGCAUCUGAAAUAUUCCAAAAUUUUCAAAUCAGAAUACAUUAUGUGAAGUUUGUAAAGAAAAUCAAGGAAGAUCCAAAUAUUUGUGACAAUAUUAUAGCACCAUGCACAUUGCUUGACAAGCCAGGCUCAAUGAAACAGCGGAAAAGCUAGAACCAUAAUGGACAGAACAAGAAUGAAUAGUGGCCUUUUCAUGCUCCUUUUGUUUUCUCAUUCACCCUCAAACACCGAAGGAAUAAUUGCUAAGGUGAGGAAUCCUAUAUUAGAAUUACACAUUCAAGGAAAUGCAUCUUACCUUGUUGUUAAUCAAGUUGUGAAGAGCAAUAACACUUCGGAUGAGAGAAGAAAGAUAGAUAACCAACAUCAUAUCAUUUGUUUUCACUGCACAUGACAACAAGGACAUGAUUCAACAUUUUAGCAGAAUAGGCACUUGAGCACGGAUCAAAAAUCUAACUGUAAAGCAGUUUAAAUGAUAAAAUAUCUACAGAGGCAGAAUAAACACAGCAGGUUUAUUUACCUGAAAAAGCCUUGAUCAACUCGGAAACAUUAAGAUUUGGAAGUAGAUUGAACACAUCCUACAAGGAUUUUGAAUAGAGAAAUAAGAAAACGUACAGGUGGUAUGGUGAAAAUAUUAAGACUAGGCAAAAAUUAGAAAGAACUCAAAACCUUAUAAAAGACAGAGACAUUAUGAUUCUAGCUUAUACUACAUAUAGGUUACGCCAAAACCGAACCUGUAGAUGGUACAAAAUCUCGUGGUUUAAAGGGAGCUUUCCAUCAAUAACAAGGUCAAGAUAACCCCGAAUCUCUCGAAGUCUUGCUUCCAAUCCCUUCAAGGCUGUGAGUUUCCCUGUAACCUGUACAAGACUUGGAAACUAAGUUUGUUGUAUUCAUGUUAGACUUGUCAUGUGUCUGUGUGUGAAUAAGAAGUAAAAACCAGACCUCUGUUGCAAGAGUGCUGAUGGUUGUAUCCUUCACAUCUCUAAGCAAGUGUUCCACUCCUGUUAAAGAGUAACAUGGUAACUCAAAACUAGAACUAGAUACUCACUCACCAACCCACAAAAGAAAGAAAGAAAUUGAUCUCUGCAUGCAAUAAGUUGGGAGUUCUUUUGAUUCAAUGCUAAUAAAGGGGGAGCACCGGUUAUUUAUCCCAUCGGCAUACCAAUUUCCUCAACUUCAUGGGCAGCAAUUUCAGAAGGCACAUGAACGAACACCUUCUGGCUUUUCUGGGUAGCGUUCUGUAAUCAAACUAAAAUGUUAAUUCAAAUUUGCAUGAAACUGGAUUUCAAGUUAAAAGUAACACUAACCAUAGAGCUUCGUUGCUAAUAGUACACAAGAACAAUAGAAAAUGGAGCUUUUUUUAAUUAAAAAAAAAAUGGUGAUUCUACCUCUUUAACCUCUUCAACAGUACAGUAAGCUUUUGUGGGUAUACCCAGCUCCUUUGGUUGGACAUCAAUUAUGACCAAGACAGGAUUUGGGACAUAGCUGCAAAAUCAAACGGAAUGGAGAAAGGAAGAAAAAUUAAUGAGAACUUAGAAGGACAAAGAAAGGAAACAGAUAUUCAUGUAGGCUGCAGGCUUCCCCAUGUUAGAAAACCAAAAAGGGGGGCAGAAAGGCAGCAUAUUGUACCACUGCACAAGAAUAUCACUUAAAGGCACAGUGCUUCCUUAUAACCAACCAUCACUAUUUUGUAGAAAACUGACACGCAACCACAAGGUUUCCAAAUUCCCAGACAUCUUAGUUCUUGUUUUUCUAUAUCUUCAAGUUAGAUCAGCAAAAUGGUAUAGUACCGUGCAUGUCGGAGAGAGGAAAGAAAGAGGUACACUUCUGCUCCUUUUUGUUGGUUAAAAACUUAAUACGGUUUCUCUAAUCUCAAUUUGAACAAUGUCAACCUUAGAAUACUCAAAUUAUUUCAAUGUUAUCCCUCCACAUAAUUUUGUUAAUCAGACUAGAUGUUAGAAACAUUCAUGAUAUUUGUAUGCAAUCUUAAGUACAAGGAGCGCUGGUUUGCAUUGGGUUGGUCGACUUACUCAUUAAAUAAAGCGUGAAUGUCCAAGUCAUUUUCUCGCAAUUUUGGACCCGUGCUGUACCAUCCCACAACAUGCUCCUUUGCUGGAAAAAGUUAUUUGUCAAUUUUUCAUCAUAACCGACAAUGUACAUAUGUGGAAAUAAGAGAAUUUUCUCGACUAAUACCGUUUAUUCUCUUCGCCAUGGCAUACAUGGCCUCAUGGUAGUUGUGAUCAAGAAACCAAAUACUAGGGUCCCUGUCAUCUUCUUCAAAGGGCACUGUGAAUAGAGAUCAAAUAUUAUUUGUGUAAAAAGUAAUGCACUUGAUCUGGAAACAUAAAGGUUUUAAAAUCAAGAACAUAGAAAAGGCCAAAUAAGAAAAUAUUUUAGUAUAACAAAAACCUGACAAACACAAAAUCUAAACUAAUUCGUCAAAUUUAAGGAUACAAUCAUGGAAUUCAAGGCUGAUACUGCCUAACUUUCUGUUGGAAAAUCAAUAAACAAGAAACUUAAAAUAGUACAUGAAUAUAAGUGGUAGAUACUAACAACUAGAGCACCUACAAUGCAACAGGAAAUUAACAUACAAAGUGCACGGUACCGUAAAUAAACUAAUACACUUUCAAACUACGCAGGUCUAUACAAUUGGAAAGAAAAUAAAAGCACAAAUUUUGCAUAUUUAGGCUACAACAACCUCAGUACCUCUUGAGUUAAAAUUAUAAAUGCCUGAUCAAAUAGCAUGUCUAGAAUGCCACAAUCAGUUGUUAUCACUUUAACUUUUCUACAUAGCAAAUUUGAAAUUUGACACAAGUAGGAAUUCAUAUAGCAGCAUACAAUUCAAAAUGUAACUUAACUUUGUUAAGCCAAUUCCAAGUUUAAGCUCAUAGCGGCAACAGCACACUUAUUUUUUUGAAUAAUUAAGAAAAAUACACCUUGUUUUUCACAAUGUCAUAACCUAAAGACAAAAUAUUCUGUAGCAGCAAUGAAUUAUCCACCACAAUUGGAGCAAAAUUCAAAAUCAAAACCACCAUAAUCAGAUCAAAAUGGGAAAAAUUCAUCUCCAGAUAAAAUAAACAUAUUUCAAAAGUAAAAAAGGAAUGAGAUCCAAACAGAGCCGAGGAACCGAAAGAGAAGCAGAUGGACUAAAAGACGGACAGAAAUAUACGAACCGGCAUAGCUGUUGGUGACGUCAACGGUGCCCUUGAAAGAGGAGCCAAGCAGAACGCCGACGACGCGCUUGCGAGUGUCCUUGGCGACCCUGUUGUAAUUGUCGACGAUGCUGAGCAAAACCAGAGGGUGAACUAUCACCUUCUCGAUCGGCCUCGCUGAGAUUUGCUGCGUUUUUAUCACAUCCAUUUCCUAAUUUCUUCUUCUUGAACUGAACUUUUUCUUUUUUUGCUUGAAUUUUGAGUUAGCUUCUUCUCCAGGAAACCUCAGCUGGCGUGUUCCAACUCAACCUGCUUGCUUUGCUGCUCUUCCUCAGUUUCGCUUUCCUCUCGCCUUUCACCGAACAAUACAUUUUUUAUAUUAUGAAAAGCUUUGUUCGUUUCGGGAUUCUUAGUUGGGCAUCAAAGCCCAAGUUGUGAAAAAAACCGCCUCAAUCUUAAUGGGCCUUGUUUGGAACAGCUAUAUUACCUUUGGGCCCCUUUAACUGGCUUGAGCUUGGGUCAAAAUAGGUAUUAUUAGGUUAACAUGUUGAAAAUAUACUUUUUUUGGGACCUUUUAUGAAGAAUCUUCGAUCCAUAAGCAAUAAGCUUAUAGCUCAAGUAGUUACGAAUAGUCACUAAUGCGCUUAAAAAUUAGUGUUCGAUUUCUCCCUCUCUAAUUCAACAGGCAAAGCAUAUACCCGGCUCCUAUCACCAUUAUAUGAGUCGCACGUGAUGAAGAGUGUGAGAGGGAAAACUGUAUGACCCCCCUCUCUAUAAGGUCCUCAUGCACUUCUCCAUUUCUAUCCCUGAGAUUCUAGAUGCCCUUUGAAGAAUAAUCACUUUACAACACUAUGAAAGGGCAGGUUUAGAAUCUCAAAAUGAAAUUACUGAAUAAUAGUUUUGGUAGUAGCAUAAUAUAAAGGGAUAGGAGAGUAGCGGAUGAGUUUUACUUUGUAAAAGGAUAAAUGAGGGUUGUGGGGAAGUGGGGAAGUAGAUUAGGACAUGAAAUUCAAAGCUGGAAGCAGACCCAAGGCCAAGAGUAAGCAUAGCAUGGACAAUUUAUGCAGCCCAAGGAGACACAUCUCAUGUGAGGACGCAAAAAUUCCAAAUUCCAAGCAUUCAUGUGGAAAACAAGAACCCAACAGAGUAAAUCACAGAGAAAUUAAUAACAACAAAGUUUUCUGAGCACAUGCAGAGGAGAAUGUCCAAGAAUUUCCAAUAUUUUAAACCAACUUUAAAAUUAAUUUCACUACUACGUAAAAUUUUCAGCUACAAAGUUUUCCACUCCAAGCUAUCUCCCCCCACACCCUCCCUUUCUGUUCACCCUUCUUCCUGCCACCAGCUAAACCCUAAAUUCUACAAAUGACAGCCAUGGCUCUACACUAUAAAGCUGGCUAACUAGAAGUUUUUUCUUUUUCUUAUAACAAUUGAAGCCUGUAAUUUAAAGGAAGCUUAAGCGCAGAUCCAAUGGUGGAUGGUCCAUUUCUGUCCCAACCCUGUAAGCAAAAGCUGUAGCCUCUUUGCAGUAUUCGUUUGCAUGAAAUCUCAUCUUCUCCGCUUCUGAUUCGUCGAAGGAGUUUACUGGGAAAAGUUGAAGGGUCUCAAUCACUCUCGCCGGCUCCGAAACUUGAUUUAGUUCUGCAAAGACGACCACAAAAAUCAAACAUUUAAAAGAGCAGGAAAAAAAAAAGAGUAAAAAAGAUAAGUUUCUCUUUGUUUCUUGAGAAAGUGAUCUGAGAGAUUAAAAAAACAGUUACUUCAAAGAGAAAAUAUCUUUUAACAGCCACUAAUAGCGUACGUUUUGGAGAAGAAAUCUUGUCAUGAUCUCGACGAGUGAAAUCCUUGUCAUCGAUGGAAACUUUGCGGCGUUUCUGUCUUUCUCUGGCUUUGUGAUUCUGAAACCAAUAGAAAACGUUUUUGCUCUCGAUCUUUCCAUAAAAGCUUAGCUGAGAGGAGAUUUUCUGAAUCUGAUCAGUGCUCGGCGUACGGAGUCCAGACCUGAACAGGUCAGUUAGAACUUUAACCUGUUCAGUAGUCGGAUUCCAACGCCCGCACUUGGUUCCAUUAUUAUUGCCAUUGCCACCACCACCACUGCCGCGAAAACUCGCAGCUUUAAUGCAAAACCCUGACAUGCCCUCAUCCAUAUUUGAUUUUUCAGCUUCAAAUGCCUAGAAACGAAACAAGUCUCUGCUGCCUCAGAACUUCCUUUCUGAGCUUCUGAACUCAAAACAGUGUGAACCCGUGUGCAUAUAUAAUACCAUAAAGUGGAUACUUUAUUUAUUAAUCUUUUGUGUUACAUUUUUUAUUUGCGGAGUAGGUUUUUGUUUUAUUGAAAUCAACCCUUUGUUUAUAUAUUAAUCUGCGUUGUUUUUAGGGAAUUUGAGAUUGAAUUAUGUGGAUUUGUUCGUUUCAAUUAUCUUUUCCCGGUUUUUUGUGCUGAGAGAUAUAAAUAGAGAGACAUGCGUGAAAGCUGCCACUGUUCAACAUUGGUCGUCGAGCAGACAAGAUGUGAGUUUUCACUAAUAAUGCAUAAAAUUGUAAUUGAAACUCUCUAACAGCAUUUUUUAUUUCCUUGAGUUCAUAUGGAUAUAUAAAAUUUUCUUUAGGGUUUUUAUGCUUUGCACUAAAAUAUAUAUCGGGGAGAUUCUUCUAUAAGUAUUUAAGGUAAUAAUUUGUUACGUAUUUUUAAUCUCGACUGUGUGAUUGCUUUCACUAGAUGUAUUGGUAGAUUUAAUAUGCAAUAUAUAUGCAAUCCAACGAUCGACAAUAUAAAUAUAUAACUAAUUUUUAACAUAAAAUACUUAUUGAAGAAUUCUCGUAUAUAUGCUUAUUCUAAGAUGUUGAGUUUUGUAAAUCUCAUGCUCUAGAAUAGUAGACUAAUCUAGUGCGUCCAAGACCACCAGGACACGUGAGUAAAGCCAAGCAUCAUUUUUAAUUAUGUUGGUGUGUUGCUAAAGAUCAUAUAGAAGAGUGCAAUUUGAUGGAUUAUCUUAACUGGGCAAUUUUUCAAAAGAAAGAUCGAUGCAAGUGAAAGUCAAAAUUUCACAUUGUCUGAUCCAAAUUGGACGGUUGUGAUCGCAACAGACUGACAAAGAUACCGAGUUAGGUUGACCCUAAGACUAAGUAGAGCUCAGUCAAAUAGUGUGGGGUUAAAUCUCCUUUUAAGGGUGUGUGGGAACAUAAACAAAGCGACAAUAAAGCCACCAAAUUGAAAUAUGGGGGAGGGACAAGUCAUGACCAGCCAAAAGAGGGGGACAAAUUGGAUUUUCUUAUGUCAUGUGCCUCCUGUCGUAAGCAACUACAUGCCCCUUUUUCCAGUCACUUGGUUGCUUCAUCCUUAGCUUCAAAUAUAUAUACAACAAAUUUUAAAACACACUUAUCAUUUGCUUGUAGGUACACGAUUCUGGGAGUGAUCAAAAGUCUAGGUGAUAUUUUGUAGUUUUGGGUUUGUCCUUACACAGGGAAUAUAUCAUACAUGGUUGAAUACAUAGUCAUGUCAUGAUGACUUUGCAUGCAGUUUCCAUUUUAGAUAUGGAAUUGGAAAUAACAUCGGUGCAUGUUAUCGUAUUAUCAUGAAAAAGUGAAAUUUGAACUUGAGAUCUCUUUGAAAUAUAGUAUGUAACAUUAAUAUACUUGAUAGUAACUUGAAACAUACCUUCAAAACGAAGAAAAGGGUUUAGUUUAGUGCAUGGUUUGGUAUUGAGACUUUGCAUAUAGUAUCCGUCCUAGAUCUGAAAUUGGAAACAACAUCAAUUCAUGUUAUUGUAUUAUCGUGAAAAGGUGGAAUUCGAACUCGACAUCUCUCCUAACAUAAUAAAUGUUAAUAAAUGUUGUGAAUGCUUGCUUGUGAAUCUGGAAAUGGUCUUGAUCCAUUUGAUUUAUUAUAGUUAUAUUUAGCGUGUGACAAAAUCCCAAGAAAAGUCUUGGAGCAUGCAUGGUUUGGUUUGGUCUCUCAAGAAUUUGAAUAGUAAAUCUAGUAAUUGGGUAGUCAAGAGAAGAGCAGUAGCGCAGUGCCAAGUUGUGUUGCACACUUUCGACAAUUCCCGAGGAUAUGUUUGUAUUCACGAGCAAAAUAUUUGUCUGUUUGCACUUGGCACAAUAGUUAGCUGACUGCUGUCUGUGAAUGUGGUCUGGCUAACUCCUGGGAGCUUUAACUAAUUAAUUAAUUUGAACUAAACUAAUUAAACCUAAUUAAAGAACAUGUUAUGCAGGUGAGUGAGUGAGUGAGUGAGUGAGUGGUGACGAUGAUCACAUAUGAUAUAGUACAAGCGCACUAGGGUUUGCUGGGUUAGUGCCAACCCAUCCUACCCGUCAUCUUGAACAUGUUCCUGUUUGGAAGCAGAGACUUACUUGGAGGAACAUGUCUUUUGUUUUGUUUAGAUGAAUUUUAAGAUGAGUGAAACUUGAUUGAUUAUCAUAUGAUAUCAUAUAGCUAGGCUGAAAGGCCAGCAGCUAAUGGAACGCAUGCUUCUCGAUGAAUGCAUAAUUACUAACAAGUACAUUUGACUGAGAUGAGAUGAGAGGAGACCAAACCAGACUCAAAAUUAAAAUCAAACAUUUGAAAGGGGAGAUUGGUAAAAGUGCCAUGCUGUCCUGUUUGGCUGUCUUUUGCAAUUGUCCAUCUACACCCUACACAAACUUUUUCAUUCAUAUAUAUAUAUAUGAGAUGAGUUUGAGAGACAUGAGAUUGAGACAGAGAGAAACGAGAAAGAUGUGUUUAUUAUGUGUAUGUGGAGAGGGUGAAUGCGGAAAACGUGAGAUUCGAGAAGGCUUAGCUAGAAUUAGGGCACGCGUGAAAUCCAGGCCGCCCCCUAAAAAUCUCCCUCCUUUUUCGACUUUAUUGUCUCCAUUGCAGCUUAUAAUUAAGCACUAAGCAGCAGUGGAAGGUUCACCGCCAUCAUCCAGACAAAAAGGCCAAAAGCCAGCCCACUUACUUACCGUUCAUAUUUUAUAAGAGAGCAGAGAAUAUGAUUUUGGGGGAUUAAGACGUUGUGGAUAUCCCAUCCAAUCAUGCUUGGCUGCUGCUGCUGCCUGCUGGCAUCUCAUUAAUGGGCAAAGGCCAAACUCACUUACUGAAACCCACUAUAAUCAUAAUAAUUCCACUUGUUAAUUGCAUAUGUACUUAGCAUCCUUUCUGUUUGUUGCUACCACUGAUAACCAACUAGAUUUUUUAUUUUUAUUUUUAUACAAGCAAUGUUGGGGGUGGAGGUUUCCUCACCAGGAAGGCUAUAAUGAGGUGUUUAAAGUGAGAAGGCUAUUUAAAGAGGUCAAUCUCAACAUAAAAAAAAUGUAAAGAAAUCAUGAGACUUAAACAUUUUAAAUGUUUUGAUGGUAGGAUUGACCUCCUCACUUUAAACUCCCCAUUGUAGCCUCUUCCAUUUUCUCACACACUCUAUAAGUCAAUGCCCUUUUUCGUUGGACCAAACACAUUUGCUCACUAAAUCUUUUUUAGUAGAGUUAAUUCUCUUCACAAUUUCAAAAACAUUUUCAAGUUCGAAUUCUCUACUCUAGCAUCGAUUUUUUAUGUAACUACCAGGAUCUGUGACAUUUUCCCAUCCGGUAAUUUCAACAGAUUCAUUGGGGAACUCUGGAGUUGUCCCCAAGGGCACUUUAUUAAAGAUCGCGUACGACUAUCAAAUGCAAGUAAUAUAGUUGUAGAUGCCCCGUGAUAAGUUAAUUUGACAGUAAUUAACUUUCAAGUUUUCCACUCGUUUCUCCCAAACAUGAAGAUUAUCAUAUUGUUUACGGAAUACAACACCCAUCGUUCAUAUUUCGGAUUUCACCUUCAUCAUAAAGUUGAAAAUCACGCGCAGUUCGGGGAAGGCUUCCAUGGUGAAUCUGUAUUGGAAGAAAAUAAAGGCAUAUGCUCUCUCAUUCUACGGGAUACAAGACCAAGCCAAGUAGGAAUCCCAAAUCAGUUUACUGUUCUGCUACUAAAAAGCGAAGUAUGGAUAACGGAUUCAGAAAUGACCAGAAGCAGCAAAAAGGUAACAUCCUAUUCUAGAUGUAGUAAAGGUACAAAGAUAAAGCAGAAUCCUCACACGCCAAUGCACAGAAACGAGAGAUAUGAACCAUAACAUUAGCUCCAAAAAUGAUCAUGUUUCUAGCCGACAGUUAAAAGCAAUCUUGAAAUGAUUGAAAAAUCCUACCUAUACUUUCAAUGAAAUAAAGAUAUUACAACCUUCUCUGGAAACAAAGGCCACGUUCUCACACUUGGCCAUAUAUCCCUAACAGAUGACUUCUUAAAAGUAGAAUUGUCUUGACAGUAGAUUCUGUAAGCAAAUAGGAAUUACAGAACCUGCGCAGCCGUGUUCAACUUUUCGGCUAGGGUGAGCUGUGUCCUGGUGAUGCUUGACAAAUAGAGCAAGACCAAAUUGUCCUGUAAGGAACAAAAGAAAAGGACAAGUUUCAUGUCAGACAAUCUCCCGCAAACCAGGUAGCAAAAUUAGUAACUAGACCCACUCCACAGGUUCUAUAAGAUUGAAAUAUAAGAACAUCAAUUGGAAACAUAUUGAAGAAAGUCAACAAAUAUACUAAAACUAAAUCCUUCCUGAUGCAACAAAAUGAAUCAGACUAUAUUAGUACCUGCAGGCUGUCAUUCACAAGCUUAUCAAAAGCUGUAGGAGAUAAUUUCGGAAGAGAUGCAACUGCAUCUAAGAGAAAUCUCCCUAUGUUGUUAUCGGGUUCAACACGACUUUCCUGAAAACAAGAUCCAUUAUCAAAUUUAAGAAAAAUCAAGCAAGACUGACUCAUAAAAAGGUUAAACCUCCUUACUAACCACAACAUUGUCAACAUAUUUGUAAACAUCAUCAAUUAAAGCUAGGAGUCGCUCCAUUGAGGCUUCCAUUCCUUCCAAAUCAGUAGGGAGUUUGUCAACCAUUGUGGUCUUUAGAAUAUCAUCUGCCAUCAUGGAAAAACAUAUGAUUUCAAACCAGACUAGCAUCAUGCUUAAAUGCCCAAACAAUCAUAUGCAAAAAAAUUAGUAGAAAGCUUGAGUUCAACCAAUAUACUGAAUAAAAGCUAAGACAAACAUGACACAUAAGCGAUUUCUGAUUGAUGAGAAAAGCACAUAGCAGUACGGAAAUAUAACAGACUUAAAAGAAACAAGCAACACUGCAGCUCCUAUUUUAAACCAAACCUUCAUUUUCAUCAGUAUUGUAAUCUAAUAUAUAUACAAAUACACACAAUUCUUCUCUGCUGAAGUCCACAAGCAAUGUCACGUAUUUCGACUGUCAAAUCAAAUCUAGAAAUCUCAGAUGCACGGGGAGUCAUAUGCAUCUAAAUACAUUCCAACUUGCCAUAUUUGAUCCAACGGAUGGGAGAGAGAGAAUUUUGUGUGUGAAUGGGUUCUAUACGUGCAUGUGUGUCUAUCUACAAUAACCGUUCAGAACGCAAUGCUUGACAGAAUGUUAGUCAACCACAAACAAACUGCUCCUUUUUGACGAGUAGAACCCCCAUAUUUUCACAAGGUCAGCAAACUGUUGUUGAAAUAUGUAAUCACGUAUUUGUACUAAUGCUCAGAAUAACAAGUUCCUUCGAGUUUCCUCCAAAGCUUAGUGAACAAGUUACUUUUGUUCAAUCAAUUCAGAAAAUUAUUCAAGGAUUCUGAAGUGAAGGUGUUGUGUGUGUAUGAGAGAAAACAUGGAUCAACUAUGAUACUGAAAACAAUGAGGGAUUAGAAGAUUACAUCCAACUCUCUCAGCUUCAACCAUACGAAGAUCGAGAGGAAUUUCUUGAAACUGUGCUGCAAGUUGCCGAUCUCCAAGAGACAAAUUCACUGAAACAUAGGCUUUAAUGGUACCCUCCCCAUUUCUAAAUCCAGUAUCAACGGUCAAAUGAACAGGGUUGGGAGCCUCCCUAGAAUAGAACUCAUGGAUCAAUACGCUACCCCCAGUAACUCCAAAACCAGUAGAAUACCUACAAGCAUUCAUACAGCCACAACAAUAAACAUGUUAACCAACUUGGAAAUAUUACAAAUCUCCAUCACAUAAGUUUAUACUAGCAUAUAUAAGGUUAAAAUACAUGUUCAAAUUUCACGAAACUAACAUGGGGACCAUUGAUUUCAUGCUAUCACCACAAAUGUACUAAACAAAUUUUCCACCACAUCCUUUUUCCUUUUUACAAAUUCUUAAUAUUUGGCAACGAGCUUAACCACUAGUUAAAGAAAAUCCCAUUGGAAGAGUUAGAAAACUUGAUAAAUUUCUGAAGUUUUCUACUCCACAAAUGUCAAUAAGUUAUGUGUUACGCACUGAAUUAUAACACAAAUCACACUAAUGAAGAAACAUUCAGUCAGAAUGAGUAUUAUUAUUACACGCAAAAUAGUUAGAAUUCCCAACAAAAAUUGCCUGAAAAUUUGCAUAUCAAUAACUAAGAAAACUAAAAUAAGAGAAAGGCAUCAUGACAUUUACCAUCCAACAAUGACUUCCUUUGGAUUCACCUUUUGCUGGGAUAUGAGCAUAUUGUGAUGGUAAUCGAUAUCUAAAGCAACCUGCAAAGUAGACAUCACACAAAAAAUUACUAAAUCAGUCAGCUGAUCUUGAAGAAGAUUAAGUUAAUUAACUACAAUUAUAACAUCAACCAAGCACGAAGCAAGGGGGAAAAUUAAAAUCACUAUAAAUUAAUAUCAAAAUUCAAAACAAAGACAUCAGGGAAAGCAGAGGACCUGGUCAGCGCUCUCGUUAUGAGGAACGGCGUAAGAGUUUCUAAUAUCGACUGUGCCAUCAGGCAGGACAGAGCCGAGGAGCGUGCCAAUAACGCGCUCGGCUUGGUCAGGACGCCUGACAUAGCAAUCGCAGAUGUUGAAGAUGACGAGAGGAUGAACCUUCGCCGACAAGCUCGAUGACGAAGACGUGGAGAACUGCAAAACUGUGUGCUCGAUCACCGCCAUUCUCUCUCAGCGUUAUGGAUCUGGUUUGCUUGGGGCUAAGAGAGUUUGCGAGAGAAGGAGCACAAGGAUGGCGCGAGCAAUUAGGGUUUUGGUGGAUAGAGAAGAGAUGAGAGGAGAUAUUGGACUUUACCUUCUUCUUUUUUGAAAAGAAGUUGUAUGUCGGCCUUUUAACUGUAAACAGUGAAUAGGCUGACUUUAGCCCAAUGCUUAGCAUGUCACCAUAUGUCUAAUGGGCCGACAAAAACGCUAACUAGAGAAAUAUAGCCAACUAUAUUUUACCAUGAAACUCCUAUAAUUUCUUUUCUUGAGUUUACUUACACGUGUGGAAUAAUAAAAGAAAUUAUAGGAGUUUCGUAGCAAAAUUUGUAAUCAAAUACUCUGACCAAAAAAAAGAGUAUUACUUUUAUGCUCAUAGCAUAAACAAUGUUAACUCUUUUCAAAAUAGUCAUCUACUCCUCUUGUGGCUCUGAAUUGUGAAAAAGUUAAGUUAUUAAACAAUAAAGGAGAAGUACAUUAUUACUAUUUUUGAAUGUCAAUAACAACUUCCGUUACUAAACUUUGGGCAAAUUGAUUAGAUAUUUCAUCUUCUUACUUAUUACUUUCUGUCAACCUCACGAAACAGGCUCUAGCUCAAGUUGCAUUGUAAGAAAUUUAGUAAAACAUAAAGUAUGGUCACCUGUCCAAUCCCAACCAUGCGUUUGUUGUUAUAUUCCUUUUUAUUUUGCCCUCCAUCUCCAUUGCAACCUGCUCAUUUCCCUUUUCAAAUUUCCCACAUGUUGAUGUGCCAGCUGCCAACACUAACUCCAAAAAGCGUAUAAAGAAUGAUGAAUAAUUAGCUCUAAAGACAAAUGAGUUUGGAUGUGUUUAGGAUUUUCUAUUAAGCAAACUAGCUUAUUGCAUGAAUGGUUGUCAAAUUUGAAGUCACAUGAAGGCCGCCAAAGGAGCAAACUUGAGGUGCUUGUUAUGAUGCCGUAGAGAAUCGAACUUGAGAUCUAUGAUCUGUAAGUCCAGAUUCUGUUAGCUCUUAUGCUAAGAUGUUAGACGAUAAUGAUGGAUGGAAAUUGAGAAUUUUCCUCUCUCUUUUUCAACAAAAGUUUGGCAUGUCUUAAAUGAGAUUAGGUCAGUGGUCCUGUAAUGCUAUGAUUAGAUGAAAUGUGGGUUUUAUUUUUCCAGACUAAUUAUUGAGAUAUGUAAUUAAGCUCAUUUCAUUUCUUUUAAUCUGUCUCACAAUUAUGCAAAUUGCUGACAUGCAGCACAGGAUGAUGAAAGGACUGGAGCUUCUCAAAGUCAAAGAACCUACCGAGAGAGCAAAACCACAGCCUCAUCCGUUGCUAGGUGGCCACCUAACUUCAACAACUCUCUCUGUCUCUCUGUCUCUCUCUCUCGGUUUUUUCAAAAUUUAAAAAGAAAGAAUUUCAAUUUGUUUGCUUGUGUGUGGUGGAGAUGAGAUGAAAGUAGGAAUGGUCGGUGUUAUUUCUGAAUUGAAAAGGACACAUUUCACUGCCAAAUUACAUACAAUGAGCACUCACAUCAGAUGGGGGCCUUUGCCUAAAAACGAAAGGAAACCAGGGCCGUUGAUUCUUGAAGCAGAUCAAAUCAAACACAUGCUUUGCUGCUCAUUAACACUUGCUGAAAUACGUACAAAAUACCACCAAAUACACUUAACAACCAUACACAGAAAAGUAAAUAAACAAACUCGAUCGAUCGGCUUCUUGAGGGAGCUCGAUAAGUACACGUACGCAUCAUGUUGACGAUCAUCAUAAACCAUUAACACAGAAAUUUAAGACUUGGACUUGAAGGGGAUGGCUCUGAUCACAACCACGUGGUACAAAGCUGCAAGUGCUGCCCCAAUGAAUGGUCCAACCCAGAAAAUCCACUGCAACAUUAUUUUAAAAUACAAAAAAUUAGGGUUUAAAAAAAAUCAUUAAAUUGCUCUCAAACUUUUAGAUGGGUCCUCCUUGAAAGGGAAAUUAAAGACUAUUGGAUCCAAGUUUGAAUCUAGCAUUAGGUAGUGAAUACGUCCUCUUGCACUCAAAUUCGAGUUUUCUCUCCUUAAUUUAUAGCCGUUUAUGAUACGGCUUGUAUUUUUAAAAAGAAAAAUAGAUCAAUCAGAAAGGCUUACAUGGUCAUCCCAUGCAUGCUUCUUGUUGUAGAUGAUGGCAGCACCAAGACUCCUAGCUGGGUUGAUACCAGUUCCAGUGAUGGGGAUGGUAGCCAAGUGCACCAAGAACACAGCGAACCCAAUAGGCAAAGGUGCCAAAAUCUGUUAAUCAAACCCAAUUAUUCAAAUUAACAACCGAUUAAUCACCAGUUAACAAAUUAACACGAUCCAGCUAGGCUAAGGAAAAUGAUCAAACACUUAAUUAGCAUACAUACCGGAACAUGGGAGUCUCUGGCGCUGCGCUUGGCAUCAGUGGCCGAGAAAACUGUGUAGACAAGAACAAAGGUGCCAACGAUCUCAGCACCAAGCCCUGAUCCCUUGGUGUAGCCAUGGGCUACAGAGUUGGCCCCGCCACCAAGCAACUCGAAGUUGCGGCUCUUCUCGAAGCCCUUCACCACCGCCGCACCGGCGAUCGCCCCAAGCGUCUGCAUCACGAUGUAGAAAACCGCCCUUGUCAGCGACAGCUUCCGGGCCAAAAACAGCCCGAACGUCACCGCCGGGUUUAUGUGACCCCCUG
rnacentral:lncRNA from 1 species